AGGGUUGUAGUUAAAUAUAACAUUUGACUUGCAUUCAAAAAGUAUUGAAUUAUCAAUCUUCCUUA
rnacentral:tRNA from 2 species